GGACUAUGGACGUUCUACCUACUGGUUUGUUCGGGAGUCGUUCUGUUGUUUCUACUCUGGACGAUUUUUGAGCGAUUAAUUUAUAUCAAUUUUAUUCUUUAAGGUUUAGUUUUGGUAGAUUUUGGACUAUGUUUCUUUUGUCAAUGGCUAAGUAGGAGUUACACCAUCAGCACUAUACUUAUGAUUCGGUAGCCUUGUAUUAUCUUGUGUA
rnacentral:lncRNA from 1 species